rnacentral:rRNA from 1 species
CCUACGGGAGGCAGCAGUGGGGAAUAUUGCGCAAUGGGCGAAAGCCUGACGCAGCGACGCCGCGUGAGGGAUGAAGGUCUUCGGAUCGUAAACCUCUGUCAGCAGGGAAGAACGGUCACUGUGCUAAUCAGCAGUGAAUUGACGGUACCUGCAAAGGCAGCACCGGCUAACUCCGUGCCAGCAGCCGCGGUAAUACGGAGGGUGCGAGCGUUAAUCGGAAUUACUGGGCGUAAAGCGCUCGUAGGCGGUAUGUCAAGUCAAGGGUGAAAUCCCCGCGCUCAACGUGGGAACUGCCUUUGAAACUGGGAAACUGGAGUGUGUGAGAGGAUAGUGGAAUUCCAGGUGUAGGAGUGAAAUCCGUAGAUAUCUGGAGGAACAUCAGUGGCGAAGGCGACUAUCUGGAACAUAACUGACGCUGAGGAGCGAAAGCGUGGGUAGCAAACAGGAUUAGAUACCCUAGUAGUC